rnacentral:rRNA from 1 species
AUUGAACGCUGGCGGCAGGCCUAACAAAUGCAAGUCGAGCGGAGCGGCGGAUGGGUGAGUAAUGCCUAGGAAUCUGCCUGGUAGUGGGGGAUAACGUCCGGAAAAGGGCGCUAAUACCGCAUACUAUCAGAUGAGCCUAGGUAGGAUUAGCUAGUUGGUGGGGUAAAGGACUACCAAGGCGACGAUCCGUAACUGGUCUGAGAGGAUGAUCAGGCAAAGUGGAACUUGAAAACGGUCCAGACUCUUACGGGAGGGAGCUGUGGGGAAUAUUGGAUAAUGGGCGAAAGCCUGAACCAGCCAUGACGCGUGUGUGAAGAAGGUCUUCGGAGUGGAAAGAACUUGAAGUUGGGAGGCGUUACCAACAGAAUAAGCAACUGCUAACUUCGUGCCAGCAGCCGCGGUAAUU